rnacentral:lncRNA from 1 species
AAUUGAAGGUGUGAAGUGUGUCUCUGUCUGCAAUGGACGCUGAGCAUCAACAACAUGAAGAUGAACCUGAAACUCAACGCUACUUUCCUUUGCCGUCAUCGGUGUGUGAGUUGUGACAACAUUUUUUUUAAUACUAAACUAUUGAGUCCCAAACAAACACAACACAACACCUGCCACUGUACCAGCUCAAACUCAAUAUCAUCUAUUAAUCCAACUCCAUUUCUUCACACCAAAUUCAAUCACUUUAAUCAUUUACUUUCUAUCACUCACUUUAUAUUCUUAUUUCCUACUUUUUAUUUCCACAUUUUAUCACAUUUAUCUUCACACCUC